rnacentral:lncRNA from 1 species
GCAAAGACUCAAAUAUAUAUCAUAGAUAAUCUGAUCACAAAUCCACAAUUCAUCGGAUCUCGACAAACACACCGCCAAAGAAGAUUACAUCGGAUAGAUCUCCAUGAAGAUCAUGGAGAACUUUGUAUUGNNNNNNNNNNUGAGAGAGAGAAGAAGCCAUCUAGCUACUAACUACGGACCCGUAGGUCUGAACUAAACUACUCACGAGUCAUUGGAGGGGCGAUGAUGAUGAUGAAGAAGCCCUCCAACUCCAAAGUCCCCUCCGGCAGGGUGCCGGGAAGGGUCUCCAGAUGUGAUCUCGCGGGAACGGAAGCUUGCGGCGGCGGAAAAGUAUUUUCGAGGCUCCCCUGAUUUUUUACGGAAUAUUUAGGAAUUUAUAGGCCAAACACCUAGGUCAGGGGGCGGCCAGGGAGGCCACAAGCCUGNNN